rnacentral:rRNA from 1 species
UGGGGAAUAUUGGACAAUGGAGGAAACUCUGAUCCAGCAAUUCUGUGUGUGUGAAGAAGGUUUUAGGACUGUAAAACACUUUUAGUAGGGAAGAAAAAAAUGACGGUACCUACAGAAGAAGCAACUGCUAAAUACGUGCCAGCAGCCGCGGUAAUACGUAGGUCCCGAGCGUUGUCCGGAUUUAUUGGGCGUAAAGCGAGCGCAGGCGGUUAGAAAAGUCUGAAGUGAAAGGCAGUGGCUCAACCAUUGUAGGCUUUGGAAACUGUUUAACUUGAGUGCAGAAGGGGAGAGUGGAAUUCCAUGUGUAGCGGUGAAAUGCGUAGAUAUAUGGAGGAACACCGGUGGCGAAAGCGGCUCUCUGGUCUGUAACUGACGCUGAGGCUCGAAAGCGUGGGGAGCGAACAGG